rnacentral:rRNA from 1 species
GGCCGCGGGAAUUCCAUUCAGGCCUAACACAUGCAAGUCGAACGGAAAGGCCCUGCUUGCAGGGUACUCGAGUGGCGAACGGGUGAGUAACACGUGGGUGAUCUGCCCUGCACUUCGGGAUAAGCCUGGGAAACUGGGUCUAAUACCGGAUAGGACCAUCGUUUAGUGUCGGUGGUGGAAAGUUUUUCGGUGCAGGAUGAGCUCGCGGCCUAUCAGCUUGUUGGUGGGGUAAUGGCCUACCAAGGCGCCGACGGGUAGCCGGCCUGAGAGGGUGGACGGCCACAUUGGGACUGAGACACGGCCCAGACUCCUACGGGAGGCAGCAGUGGGGAAUAUUGCACAAUGGGCGCAAGCCUGAUGCAGCGACGCCGCGUGGGGGAUGAAGGCCUUCGGGUUGUAAACUCCUUUCAACCAUGACGAAGCAUUAUGUGACGGUAGUGGUAGAAGAAGCACCGGCUAACUACGUGCCAGCAGCCGCGGUAAUACGUAGGGUGCGAGCGUUGUCCGGAAUUACUGGGCGUAAAGAGCUCGUAGGUGGUUUGUCGCGUCGUCUGUGAAAUUCCGGGGCUUAACUCCGGGCGUGCAGGCGAUACGGGCAUAACUUGAGUGCUGUAGGGGAGACUGGAAUUCCUGGUGUAGCGGUGAAAUGCGCAGAUAUCAGGAGGAACACCGAUGGCGAAGGCAGGUCUCUGGGCAGUAACUGACGCUGAGGAGCGAAAGCAUGGGUAGCGAACAGGAUUAGAUACCCUGGUAGUCCAUGCCGUAAACGGUGGGUGCUAGGUGUGGGGGGUCUUCCACGACUUCUGUGCCG